AGAGUUUGAUCAUGGCUCAGAAUGAACGUUGGCGGCGUGGAUUAGGAAUGCAAGUCGAGGGAGAACCCCGCAAGGGGGGACACCGGCGAACGGGGUAGGAUCACCUCGGUGACGUACCCUCAGGACGGGGAUAGCGGCGGGAAACUGCCGGUAAUACCCGAUGACCUGGCGGGACUUUAAGGCUCGUCAGCAAAGGUGAGAUUCCGCCUGAGGAGCGGCUGAGGCGCUAUUAGCUUGUUGGUGAGGUCACGGCUCACCAAGGCGACGAUGGCUAGGGGGUGUGAGAGCAUGGCCCCCACCACUGGCACUGAGACACUGGCCAGACACCUACGGGUGGCUGCAGUCGAGAAUCUUCGGCAAUGGACGCAAGUCUGACCGAGCGACGCCGCGUGCGGGAUGAAGGUCUUCGGAUUGUAAACCGCUGUCGGGAGGGAUGAAGUGCCGGAAAGCUAUCUUUCCGGUUUGACAGAGCUCCAGAGGAAGCACGGGCUAAGUUCGUGCCAGCCGCCGCGGUAAUAC
rnacentral:rRNA from 1 species